GAUGCGGCGCCCUCCCUCCCUCCUCCCGCCCGCUGGCAGCAUGAGCCCGUCCUUCUUCCUCCUCCUCCUCCUCCUCCUCGCCCUGCCCGCCCGCGCCCGGCGAGAGCAGGUGCCCGGCGGGGCGCAGCGGGGCCGCAACCCCCCCGCGUCUUCCUCCUCCUCUUCCUCCUCCCCGGCGGCAGCGGGGCCGAGCCGCUUCCCCCGGAGCCGCCCGGAUCGGCGGCGGGGCCGUCUGUACUGCCGGGUGGGCAUCGGCUUCCACCUCCAGCUGCACCCCGACGGCCGCGUGGACGGCGCCCACGACGCGAGUCCGCUUAGUAUUUUGGAAAUAUUUGCUGUGUCUCAGGGGAUUGUAGGAAUACGAGGAGUUUUCAGCAACAAAUUUUUAGCGAUGUCAAAAAAAGGAAAACUCCAUGCAAGUGCCCGCUUCACGGUGGACUGCCACUUCCGGGAGCGCUUCCAGGAGAACAGCUACAACACCUACGCCUCGGCCGUGCAUCGCAGCCCUCGCUCGGGGCGCCAGUGGGUUGCAGAUUUGGGGAGGGUGGCUGUUUGCAGCCCACUCCUGGUGAUCUCUCCCAUUCUUCCCUGGACAGCUGGAGGAGCGAGUCUCUUCUUCUUCACCCAGCCACCUCAGAGAUACCGCUGUGGUGCUGGGGAAAACAAGUCAGAAACCAAAGAAGCUAAAGAAGAUUCCCAAAUUCCUUUCCAGACAAUUGCUGCCUUCAGAGGAGGCACAAAUCCUCUGCACGCGGAGCUAAGGAAGGGGAUGCAGGGAGUACAGCAGAGUGCAGUCACCUGGCACUGUCCCCCAGGUCCCUGGUUUUGAAGAUAUUCGUUGACAUUCUGAGAGGAAAAAAGCUUUCCCAUCCUUUUCCACCCUACAGUCACCCCUGCCAGGGGUGUAUGUCUUGUUCCAGAUCCCCCAAAAGAAUCUGUGUGUGUCCUGCACUCUUGGAUGCAUGGCUUGGAAGGGGCAUCCUUCAGUAGGUGCGAGAGGAAGAGGAUUUUGUAUGGAGCUGAUGAGUUUGGGCAGAAAUGAGAAGAACCUGUGCACUGCUUCUGGAGUACGAUCUUGACACGGAAUCGUUCCCAGGGACGCAUCUGCUUGAACAAGCUGCAUCACAGCGACAAAGGGUCUCAAAUGCUGGAAUUUGGACCUUUGAAGUGCCAGUGCACACUGCUUGGAGGAAACUCUUUGGGGAGAGGGAUGCCCUCAGGUGGUCUGUCCCACACUCGGGGGGCAGGGCCUAUCUAUCACUUGCAGGUAUCCUCCCAGACAGCAGCCACUAGUGCCCGGGAGGCAGGAACAGUGGCUGAGCUGCGUGUCGUGCGCCGCGUGGAGGCAAUCUUUUAUCGCUCGCCGGCGGCUCCUGGUGCCUGGGUGGGUGUCCCCGGUGUCUCGGAGUCCAUGUGUCCCUCGUGGCACAGCGCGGCCGUGGGGCGGCAGAGGGAGGAGCUGGGCAUCCGCCACUCUGAGCACGUGUUGUGGCGGGGGCGGCUCCCCAGAGGUGAGGGGAUUACCUGCGUCAUCCUUCCGAAGUGUGGCCCUGAAAUGUGUAUUUUCCCAUGCUUCAGGCUCCGGGGGACUAAUGGGGGUGGCUCAUGAGAAGGCCAAGCGUCUGUUUCACUGUGGAUAUUAUCAGAAGGGAUGUGAUACUUUUGAUAAGCAUGUUACCGUGGCUGUGGUUACGAGGUAAACGGUCAUUUACCUGGGAUGUUUUACUGUGGAUAUUGUUAUCAUAUGUCGCAGCUCUUUUAUGCGGGAUGUUUAACUUGGCUUGAAAAAGCCUUUGAGCUUUGUAUUGAUGCACUCCCCAAAAGUCUCUGGCAAGGGCAGUUCAGGCAGAGCUUAUGCAGUUUUGGAGUUUAGGCUUUUAUUUUGAUCUCUGCCUUCUCACACUUGUUGCAGUGUGAGCUUGCUGUGAGAACUGAGUCUGCCUCAGGAAUACUGGGCUUUGCAGUCAUGUAUUAUCGUAUUUCGUGUCGGGUUCCCUCUGAUUUUUUGUUCUUGCUCUUUCUCCACUCUGUUUCCCUGGUGCGUACAUCUUCAAGUACUUACUUGCGUGCUUUUCUGGCCUCUUGAGGAAAAUAAAUUAACAACUACCAUAACUAGUAGUUGGGGGAGACCUUGCUUUGAGGAGCUAAAAAAACAUUUUUAUAGCUGUCUUGGGUUGAAAAUGUAACCAAAAAUGUGUAUUUUAUUUUCAUCUGUUGAAACUGGUUGGGAGAUAUUUUUCUUUAUCUCUUGUAACUCUAGAGGGGGGAAGAGGGCGAUGCCUUCUGUUAAUGGGACAACUGAUAACACCAGAUAUGGCAGUGCCUUCUUAGCUCUUCCUCUACCCAUCCUCUUCAGAGAGACAUUACCUGUGAAUGGGCCAUUUAAGGCCUCUCACAUGACUGAUAACAUUACUUCAUUCCAUUGGGAGAUGCUCCACCCAGUGGGAGGAGCCAAAGCCUUUCCACGGGAUAAAACCAACAAUCCCAAACACUACAAUAGCCUGUUUCCACUGGAUUCCCAGAGGAUGACUGGACCCUUUCUCGAGGACCAUCUCUACUUCAAUGGAGCCACAACUCUCGCUCUGGGAGGACUUACUUCGGGCUGCUUCCAACAGGGUGUUAGGUUGUAUCGCUGAUUGUGUCAGUGGUCCUUUGUACUAUUGCUUUUAUUUUAUUUUUGUCUUUCUUGUUGUUUAUUUUCUAUUAAAUUGUGGUUCUGA